GAUGAACGCUGGCGGCGUGCUUAACACAUGCAAGUCGAACGGGAAACCUUUUAUUGGGGCUUCGGCAGAUUUAGCUGGUUUCUAGUGGCGGUCUGGUGAGUAACGCGUGGGUAAACUGCACUAUACAGGGGGAUAACAACCAGAAAUGGUUGCUAAUACCGCAUAAGCGCACCGGGCCGCAUGGUGCGGUUUGGAAGACUCGGGUGGUAUAGGAUGGACCCGCGUUGGAUUAGCCAGUUGGCAGGGUAACGGCCUACCAAGGCGACGAUCCAUAGCCGGCCUGAGAGGAUGAACGGCCACAUUGGGACUGAGACACGGCCCAGACUCCUACGGGAGGCAGCAGUGGGGAAUAUUGCACAAUGGGGGAAACCCUGAUGCAGCGACGCCGCGUGAAGGAAGAAGUACCUCGGUAUGUAAAGCUCUAUCAGCAGAGAAGAUAGUGACGGUACCUGACUAAGAAGCCCCGGCUAACUACGUG
rnacentral:rRNA from 1 species